rnacentral:rRNA from 1 species
GGGGAAUUUUGCGCAAUGGACGAAAGUCUGACGCAGCAACGCCGCGUGGGUGAUGAAGGUCUUCGGACUGUAAAACCCUGUCGUCAGGGACGAAGGUGGGGGCGUUAAUAGCGCUUUCAUUUGACGGUACCUGGAGAGGAAGCCCCGGCUAACUCUGUGCCAGCAGCCGCGGUAAUACAGAGGGGGCAAGCGUUAUUCGGAAUUAUUGGGCGUAAAGGGCGCGUAGGCGGGUUUUUAAGGUAGAUGUGUAAUCCCCGAGCUUAACGUGGGAACUGCAUCUGAGACUGGAAGGCUAGAGUACUGGAGAGGGUGGUGGAAUUCCUCGUGUAGCGGUGAAAUGCGUAGAGAUGAGGAGGAACACCAGUGGCGAAGGCGGCCACCUGGACAGUAACUGACGCUGAGGCGCGAAAGUGUGGGUAGCAAAC